rnacentral:tRNA from 1 species
GCCCAGGUGGGGAAAUUGGUAGACCCACUACCUUGAGGUGGUAGCGCUUUCGGGCAUGCUGGUUCAAGUCCAGUCCUGGGCACAA